UAGAGUUUGAUCCUGGCUCAGAUUGAACGCUGGCGGCAGGCCUAACACAUGCAAGUCGAGCGGAAACGAGUUAUGUGAACCUUCGGGGAACGAUAAGGGCGUCGAGCGGCGGACGGGUGAGUAAUGCCUAGGAAAUUGCCCUGAUGUGGGGGAUAACCAUUGGAAAUGAUGGCUAAUACCGCAUAAUGCCUACGGGCCAAAGAGGGGGACCUUCGGGCCUCUCGCGUCAGGAUAUGCCUAGGUGGGAUUAGCUAGUUGGUGAGGUAAUGGCUCACCAAGGCGACGAUCCCUAGCUGGUCUGAGAGGAUGAUCAGCCACACUGGAACUGAGACACGGUCCAGACUCCUACGGGAGGCAGCAGUGGGGAAUAUUGCACAAUGGGCGCAAGCCUGAUGCAGCCAUGC
rnacentral:rRNA from 1 species